CCUACGGGAGGCAGCAGUGGGGAAUAUUGCACAAUGGGGGAAACCCUGAUGCAGCGACGCCGCGUGAGUGAAGAAGUAUUUCGGUAUGUAAAGCUCUAUCAGCAGGAACGAGACAAGACGGUACCUGACUAAGAAGCCCCGGCUAACUACGUGCCAGCAGCCGCGGUAAUACGUAGGGGGCAAGCGUUAUCCGGAAUCACUGGGUGUAAAGGGAGCGUAGACGGCUGUGCAAGCCUGAAGUGAAAGGCGGGGCCCAACCCCUGGACUGCUUUGGGAACUGUACGGCUGGAGUGCAGGAGAGGUAAGUGGAAUGCCUAGUGUAGCGGUGAAAUGCGUAGAUAUUAGGAGGAACACCAGUGGCGAAGGCGGCUUACUGGACUGUAACUGACGUUGAGGCUCGAAAGCGUGGGGAGCAAACAGGAUUAGAUACCCCAGUAGUC
rnacentral:rRNA from 1 species